GAGAAAAAAGUAGCCAAGAAAAAAAAAAAUCCUCUUCCGCGAGGGCGAGCGAUUCGUCGUCCUCACCUCAGUCGUCGCCCCCGCCCGUGCCAUCGCCACAGCAGCGCCGCCUCCUGCUCAGAUCUGCGGAGCCCAAAGCCCGACCUCGCCGGCGGCCGCGGCGGCCGAGGCGCGGAUCCAGGAUGCCUUCGCCCGUGCGGGGUCGCUGCUCGCCCCUGCGCCGCUUCCCCCGCGACGACGCGCUCUCCUGCCCCUCCGCCUGCUCCCAUCGUCUCAAGCCUUGGUCUUGGCGUGCCCAACCCCUCUCCUCGUCCUAACGCUUACCUCCGCUCCUUGAUCUGCCUAUAUCU
rnacentral:lncRNA from 1 species